GAACGAAACUUCUUUAUCACCGAGUGCUUGCACUCACCGAUAAAGAGUUGAGUGGCGAACGGGUGAGUAACACGUGGGCAACCUGCCCAAAAGAGGGGGAUAACACUUGGAAACAGGUGCUAAUACCGCAUAACCAUAGUUACCGCAUGGUAACUAUGUAAAAGGUGGCUAUACUACCGCUUUUGGAUGGGCCCGCGGCGCAUUAGCUAGUUGGUAGGGUAAAGGCUUACCAAGGCAAUGAUGCGUAGCCGAAUUGAGAGGUUGAUCGGCCACAUUGGGACUGAGACACGGCCCAAACUCCUACGGGAGGCAGCAGUAGGGAAUCUUCCACAAUGGGCGAAAGCCUGAUGGAGCAACGCCGCGUGGGUGAAGAAGGUCUUCGGAUCGUAAAACCCUGUUGUUAGAGAAGAAAGUGCGUGAGAGUAACUGUUCACGUUUCGACGGUAUCUAACCAGAAAGCCACGGCUAACUACGUGCCAGCAGCCGCGGUAAUACGUAGGUGGCAAGCGUUAUCCGGAUUUAUUGGGCGUAAAGGGAACGCAGGCGGUCUUUUAAGUCUGAUGUGAAAGCCUUCGGCUUAACCGGAGUAGUGCAUUGGAAACUGGGAGACUUGAGUGCAGAAGAGGAGAGUGGAACUCCAUGUGUAGCGGUGAAAUGCGUAGAUAUAUGGAAGAACACCAGUGGCGAAAGCGGCUCUCUGGUCUGUAACUGACGCUGAGGUUCGAAAGCGUGGGUAGCAAACAGGAUUAGAUACCCUGGUAGUCCACGCCG
rnacentral:rRNA from 1 species